rnacentral:rRNA from 1 species
AUUGAACGCUGGCGGCAUGCCUUACACACGCAAGUCGAACGGUAACAGGUCUUUCGGGAUGCUGACGAGUGGCGAACGGGUGAGUAAUACAUCGGAACGUGCCUAGUAGUGGGGGAUAACUACUCGAAAGAGUGGCUAAUACCGCAUGAGAUCUAUGGAUGAAAGCAGGGGACCUUCGGGCCUUGUGCUACUAGAGCGGCCGAUGGCAGAUUAGGUAGUUGGUGGGAUAAAAGCUUACCAAGCCUACGAUCUGUAGCUGGUCUGAGAGGACGAUCAGCCACACUGGGACUGAGACACGGCCCAGACUCCUACGGGAGGCAGCAGUGGGGAAUUUUGGACGAUGGGCGCAAGCCUGAUCCAGCAAUGCCGCGUGCAGGAUGAAGGCCUUCGGGUUGUAAACUGCUUUUGUACGGAACGAAAAGUCUUGGGUUAAUACCCUGGGAUCAUGACGGUACCGUAAGAAUAAGCACCGGCUAACUACGUGCCAGCCGCCGCGGUAAGAC